rnacentral:rRNA from 1 species
AACGAACGCUGGCGGUAUGCUUAACACAUGCAAGUCGAACGAGAAAGUCACUUCGGUGGCGAGUAGAGUGGCGCACGGGUGAGUAACGCGUAGUUAACCUACCUCUUAGCGGGGGAUAACCAGGAGAAAUUCUGGCUAAUACCGCAUACGUAGUACGACAUGGGAAAAGUACUAGAAAGGAUGCCUCUCCUUGGAAGCAUUCACUAAGAGAUGGGACUGCGUUGCAUUAGCUUGUUGGUGGGGUAAUGGCCUACCAAGGCAACGAUGCAUAGCUGGUCUGAGAGGAUGAUCAGCCACACUGGAACUGAGACACGGUCCAG